UACGUAGGGUGCAAGCGUUGUCCGGAAUUAUUGGGCGUAAAGAGCUCGUAGGUGGUUUGUCGCGUUGUUCGUGAAAACUCACAGCUUAACUGUGGGCGUGCGGGCGAUACGGGCAGACUUGAGUACUGCAGGGGAGACUGGAAUUCCUGGUGUAGCGGUGGAAUGCGCAGAUAUCAGGAGGAACACCGGUGGCGAAGGCGGCUAUCUGGCCCGUAAUUGACGCUGAGGCGCGAAAGCGUGGGGAGCAAACAGG
rnacentral:rRNA from 1 species